rnacentral:rRNA from 1 species
UACGGAGGAUGCGAGCGUUAUCCGGAUUUAUUGGGUUUAAAGGGUGCGUAGGCGGCCUUGUAAGUCAGCGGUGAAAUUUUGCAGCUUAACUGUAACAGUGCCGUUGAUACUGGGGAGCUAGGAUUUGGUUGCUGUGGGUGGAAUGUGUGGUGUAGCGGUGAAAUGCUUAGAGAUCACACAGAAUAUCGAUUGCGAAGGCAGCUUACUAAAUUACAACUGACGCUUAGGCACUAAGGCGUGGGUAUCAAACAGGAUUAGAUA